AGAUUUGUGCAGUGGCAGCAUCAUAGCCAAUGAAGUUUAUCUGAGGGAUGAUUAUUGCUAAUUGAAAACUAUUCCUGAUACCCCGCCAUGAGGACUAGAAAUAUAGUCGAUGUUGGCAAUUUUUGGCUGUCUCUAUGGGGA
ensembl:snRNA U4 U4 spliceosomal RNA